rnacentral:rRNA from 1 species
AGUGAACGCUGGCGGUAGGCCUAACACAUGCAAGUCGAACGGCAGCACAGUAAGAGCUUGCUCUUACGGGUGGCGAGUGGCGGACGGGUGAGGAAUACAUCGGAAUCUACUUUUUCGUGGGGGUUAACGUAGGGAAACUUCCGCUAAUACCCCAUACGACCUACGGGUGAAAGCAGGGAAUCUUCGUACCUGUGGCGAUUGAAUGAGCCGAGGUCGGAUUGGCUAGUUGGCGGGGUAAGGGCCCACCAAGGCGACGAUCCGUAGCUGGUCUGAGAGGAUGAUCAGCCACACUGGAACUGAGACACGGUCCAGACUCCUACGGGAGGCAGCAGUGGGGAAUAUUGGACAAUGGGCGCAAGCCUGAUCCAGCCAUACCGCGUGGGUGAAGAAGGCCUUCGGGUUGUAAAGCCCUUUUGUUGGGAAAGAAAAGCAGCAGGUUAAUACCCCGCUGUUCUGACGGUACCCAAAGAAUAAGCACCGGCUAACUUCGUG